rnacentral:misc_RNA from 1 species
GGAAGUUGGAACCGUACCUACAGCCACAGCCUUCUCUACCGCCAGCUAAAUUAGACUUCUCUGGUUCUAACACAUUCGAUAACUAGAACCCAAAUCAUUGUUUCGUCUAUCUUUAGUUCUGUAGCUAAAUUUUCAUUGUUUUGUAUCUCUGAUUCUCCAAAGCUAUCUUUACCCAGAUUUUUGCCGCAACAGAAUCACCCUCUUCUUCUCGAUAGACCGAAUUAAUCACUAACCUUUGGUACUUCGAGAAUGUGUCCAAUUCUUAAGAGAGGGUUACGUUCUGUCUGCUUCUUCAAUGCUCGAGGAAAAUGUAAAGACAAUUUCGAUGGGCAGGUUUCAUUUUCAAACUUAUUGUUACUAUUAACCUAUAUCUUCUGUUGCAAAUUAGAUGGUAAGAAUCUAUGUUUCUCAGGAAAGUGAACUGGACUAGCCAAUACUUAAGAGUUGGGACGUGCCUUGGCAAUGGCAAACUGCUUCAUUAACCUCACUCGCAUGUGGAUUAAGUUUUUUUUUUCUUCUGUAAUUUAUUAUGGAAUUACAAGUUUAAUGGCUAAUGUGCGUGUCUUUUUAUUGGGUUACAUGUAUUUUUCCCGAAUUGCCGUAAUCUUCGAGGAAAUUUUGAAACACUGGAUUGUCUUAAUGUUUUUCUUUUGUUUUGGUUUUGGAAGGAAGUUAACGUUUUUGCCAGGCAGUUUUGUUUUGACAGGAUUAGCAGAGACAGCAGCUUUACCAAUCCUAGGAAUUAGAAUUGAAGAAUUGAGUUUAGACGAGAAGGCAGAGUUGCUGUUAUUGGACCAGAGCAUUACCACUGCAGUUGUACUUGGAGUUAUUUAUAGUAUCACAAACACCUUUCAACCGUUUCCUGAAGAUAUGUUUCGCUAUGAUUUGAGGGAACCUUUCAAUCUACAGAAGGGGUGGCUUUUAUGGGCAGUGAUUGGUCUUUUGGGUGCUCUAUAAGCUAUCGCAUUGACAGGAGUUGCCAUGUUGACAAUGGUGAGACUCCACAAAGGGAGGUUGGGAACUGUUCCCUAACUUAAAUUAUUUUCUUCUGUUCUUACACGGUACAAAGAUGGUAAUUUGUUCGAUUAUUCAAAAACCAUAUGGCAAACUUUUAAUCGCAGUGAUAAGCUGCAACGUCUCCAUCACUAUACCACAACUAAAUGAACUUAUAAUAUAUUGCUGUACACAGGCUAUACCACAAUAUUAAUAAAUUGAUGCCACCCAACUUGUAAAAUGGACUUAAAUGAAUUGUGUAUUUUUUUGGGGAAAACAGAAAUGACUAAUUUUACCUAUCCUUUUCUUGAAUAAAAAUAACGAGCUGAUAUUCUGUUUGGCAUAUACUUUUUUUUUUAACACUGUUUAGCAUAUACUUAUGAAUAUUUUAAGUGCUAUUUGUUUUCUACUACCAUAUAAUCCUUAUCAUGCGUGUAACAUGGUUGCAGACUGAUGCUCUUGUUCGGCUUCUUCCAUUAAUUGGAUCUUCAAGUGUCAGGUAUUCAAAGAAGGGGUUUUCUAGUUUUGUCCAUAUUACAUGCUGAAGUAGCUAUGCUUUCCAAUGGGGAAUACUCUUGUCAAUUAGAGAUUGAACAAAUGAACUAACGAUAUGGAGUGGUAUUGUGGCACUGCUUUCUUGGUGGGCAUCACUGUUGUCCUUGAUCCAAUUCUGGAGGAGACAGUUUUUCGAGGAUGCCUACACCCAUUUCUGUCCUAAUUAGUGCCGCUGUAUUUGCAAUAGGACAUCUAACUCCUGGGGGGUUUCCCCAGCUGUUUGUGUUAGGGAUUAUUCUGGGAUUUUCUUAUGCUCAAACUCGCAAUCUUCUAACCCCAAUUACAAUUCAUGCUUUCUGGAACUCUGGAGUGAUUCUAAUUCUCACCUUCCUUCAGCUCCAAGGAUAUGAUAUCAAGGAAUUAUUGCAGGCAACCUGACAAUGACACAGUUCCUUUACCCAUCAAUAGGGGGACCUUGUGCAAUGAGUGCUUAUUUCUGGCAUAUAUACCAUAUAUUACCUUGCUCAAGUGGUUUAGAAAAAGAGAAUAGGUGCAGGAGGAUAAAUAUGUAAAGUUGAUUAGUCAGUCUUAGACGUAUGAUUAGGAGAACAAAAGUUUUUUGGCAAGGUUUUGUUACUCAACUUUUGUGCCUUGAAAAAGCUUCAUUCUGUUAUCCAAUUCGUGCUCUUCUCAACAUGUCAAAGAAGUCACAGUUCAUAUAAUGGCCAGUGUCCUCUUAUAAAAGCUACAUAAUGUUGUGCCAAGAGUCUCAAGGGGAAGAUUGCAUAGCCAGGAUUUAUUGCAUGGAUAGGGAUUAUUGUUCUGCAAUGAACUCUUGCCUCUCUAGGCACCUUGUUUUAGUAUUCAACCUGAUGAGUGAGCUUAUUUAGAAGGCUAUAUGUUCAUUUUGGGGACAGGGUUUAAUGCGGAGAUUGGUGAUACAAAUGAAUAGUUUAUGGUAUUUGGAUAAUUUAUUAACGAGAAUAAUGGAGUUCAUUUCCGAUUGAUUGAGAGAUUACUGUUUCCCACUGAUUAAAGGAGCAUUUUGUAUUUAGUUGGAGUACGUGUGGAUUUUCAUUUAAUUAUUUGCAUCUGUAAUUUAUGUGUAUUAGAAAUUUCUGCUAAUUGUAUCUAUAAUUUAUAUGCUUAAGAAAACAAUGGUAUAUUAAUUCGGUAUUAUAGUGAAAUUAAUGAUUU